AUUGAACGCUGGCGGCAUGCUUUACACAUGCAAGUCGAACGGUAACAGGUUAAGCUGACGAGUGGCGAACGGGUGAGUAAUGCAUCGGAACGUGCCCGAUCGUGGGGGAUAACGCAGCGAAAGCUGCGCUAAUACCGCAUACGAUCUGAGGAUGAAAGCGGGGGACCGUAAGGCCUCGCGCGAUCGGAGCGGCCGAUGUCAGAUUAGGUAGUUGGUGGGGUAACGGCUCACCAAGCCGACGAUCUGUAGCUGGUCUGAGAGGACGACCAGCCACACUGGGACUGAGACACGGCCCAGACUCCUACGGGAGGCAGCAGUGGGGAAUUUUGGACAAUGGGCGCAAGCCUGAUCCAGCCAUGCCGCGUGCGGGAAGAAGGCCUUCGGGUUGUAAACCGCUUUUGUCAGGGAAGAAAAGACUCCUGUUAAUACCGGGGGUUCAUGACGGUACCUGAAGAAUAAGCACCGGCUAACUACGUGCCAGCCGCCGCAGUAACAC
rnacentral:rRNA from 1 species